UACGGGGGGUGCAAGCGUUGUUCGGAAUUACUGGGCGUAAAGGGCUCGUAGGCGGCCAACUAAGUCAUACGUGAAAUCCCUCGGCUUAACCGGGGAACUGCGUGUGAUACUGGAUGGCUUGGAUUUGGGAGAGGGAUGCGGAAUUCCAGGUGUAGCGGUGAAAUGCGUAGAUAUCUGGAGGAACACCGGUGGCGAAGGCGGCAUCCUGGACCAAUAUUGACGCUGAGGAGCGAAAGCCAGGGGAGCAAACGGG
rnacentral:rRNA from 1 species